rnacentral:rRNA from 1 species
UACAGGGGGGGGCAAGCGUUGUUCGGAAUUACUGGGCGUAAAGGGCUCGUAGGCGGCCAACUAAGUCAGACGUGAAAUCCCUCGGCUUAACCGGGGAACUGCGUCUGAUACUGGAUGGCUUGAGGUUGGGAGAGGGAUGCGGAAUUCCAGGUGUAGCGGUGAAAUGCGUAGAUAUCUGGAGGAACACCGGUGGCGAAGGCGGCAUCCUGGACCAAUUCUGACGCUGAGGAGCGAAAGCCAGGGGGAGCAAACGGG